AUACGGAGGGUGCAAGCGUUGUUCGGAAUUAUUGGGCGUAAAGCGCGUGCAGGCGGUAAGGUAAGUCAGAUGUGAAAGCCCCGGGCUCAACCCGGGAAGUGCAUUUGAUACUGCCUUUCUUGAGUAUGGGAGAGGAGAGUGGAAUUCCCAGUGUAGAGGUGAAAUUCGUAGAUAUUGGGAGGAACACCCGUGGCGAAGGCGACUCUCUGGACCAAUACUGACGCUGAGACGCGAAAGCGUGGGGAGCGAACAGGAUUAGAAACCCCGGUAGUCC
rnacentral:rRNA from 1 species